rnacentral:lncRNA from 1 species
GUCAGUUUUAAAAUCAUAUGCACAAGUUUUGCAAACAACAAAGUUAUUUGCAUCCAUUUAACUUUUACCUUGAUUUUUUAAAUAACCAUUUCAAACUAUUUACAGAACAAUCAGCUGUUCUGCAUUCAAUAAGAUGCCACACAAAUUAUUUGUGCCACUCCAAAUAUUUCUGUCCACUAUAAAGGAGAACAUCACAUCCUGAGAGAAGGGUCUGGCUGCAGCCACUGUGGAGCUCCACAGUAACCGGAAACACGUGACCUCCACAGUAGCCGGAAACACGUGACCUCCACAGUAACCGGAAACACGUGACCUCCACAGUAACCGGAAACACGUGACCUCCACAGUAGGCAGAAAUACGUUCCUGCGUGGAUCAUCGACUGCGGAAAUCUUGCAAGUGGAUCGUAAAGGUUGGGACAGAGUCUUUCAUGUAUAAAUUUGCAGUUAAUAAUUAUAUAAUUUUAGGAAUCAGCUAGUUUGCUUACACUAAUUACGUUGGCACUUCGUUAGCGUUACAACAACGGUCAUACCUCCGAACUAUCUAAACUUUAGUAAGGAGUGUGUGUACUUUUGACACCUCUGGUUAGCAUUUAGUGGUCAGUUUCAAACGUAUUUAUUUUUUGCUUGUUAUUGAACUACUUUUCACUAUCUGUAACAUCAAUGCACAUUGUUCAAUUUACUGCAUAUUGCACUUUAUUCAUGUCUCUCAUUCCACCUGCAAAAACAUUGUAAAGUUUGUCACAAAGAGGUUUAUAUAUGUAUAAAUACUAAUAUUCUCUAUUCCAUUCUGUUCUGCUUUUUUAUUGCCCAGAUAUUAGUUAGCCUUUGUUAAAUUGUCUGUUAUAUGUCAAUAGAUACGUAUGCCACAAAUAAAAGUGUUUUGUAAAUUAUGUUUUUGUAAAGAAUUUUCUCCCAAAUCUCUUACAUGCUAACUGUAACGUGUUAUUUCUGCUAAAACCUGAACUUAAAUGUGUAUAUGGUGUUUAUCUGUUUUUCUCUCUGUUUUAGAUGCACAUAUCAAUUUGGAAUUCUGCCUCCAAGCCAGAAUUGCAGUAAUGCACCACGUGUUGGCUGUUUCACUGCCCUCUGUGCCCCACUUUCAGCCCUAUUGUCAGGAGCAUAUAAAUGGACACAUUAAAAAUGCUUUGCCUUUCAAAGACAAAAUGAUAUGCCAGUGCACUUUCACUGCCCUGUCUGUAACAUGACAAUCAUACAGCGUGGGGAUAUGGCAAGGCAAAUAUUGUCAUGUCAGCGUUUAGGACUGCUCCCCACUCAACUCUCCGUGGAGCCCCGCCUCUCUCCCGCUGCACUCUCUGU